GACGAACGCUGGCGGCGCGCCUAACACAUGCAAGUCGAACGGUGAACCGGGCUUCGGCCCGGGGAUCAGUGGCGAACGGGUGCGUAACACGUGGGCAACCUGCCCCCGACCCUGGGAUAACCCCGGGAAACUGGAGCUAAUACCGGAUACUCUCCUCCGACCGCUUGGUCGAGGGAGGAAAGGUCCGCCGGUCGGGGAUGGGCCCGCGGCCUAUAAGCUUGUUGGUGGGGUAACGGCCUACCAAGGCGACGACGGGUAGCUGGUCUGAGAGGAUGACCAGCCACACUGGAACUGAGACACGGUCCAGACUCCUACGGGAGGCAGCAGUGGGGAAUAUUGCACAAUGGGCGCAAGCCUGAUGCAGCCAUGCCGCGUGUGUGAAGAAGGCCUUCGGGUUGUAAAGCACUUUCAGCGGGGAGGAAGGCGGUACGGUUAAUAACCGUGCCGAUUGACGUUACCCGCAGAAGAAGCACCGGCUAACUCCGUGCCAGCAGCCGCAGUAACAC
rnacentral:rRNA from 1 species